UCGGUAAAACUCGUGCCAGCCACCGCGGUUAUACGAGAGACCCAAGUUGAUCGUCACGGCGUAAAGUGUGGUUAGGGGCCCCAUCAAAAUAAAGCCAAAGACCUCCCAAGCUGUCGCACGCUCCCUGGAGGCACGAAGCCCAUACACGAAAGUAACUUUAACUAAACCCGAUGCCACGAAAGCUAGGAGACAAACUGGGAUUAGAUACCCCACUAUGA
rnacentral:rRNA from 1 species